ensembl:lncRNA
CCUGGUUACAGUAACCGUGAAUGUAAUCACACUAUUACUUAUGUAAUAAAGGAUGCCCAGCAACGAUCACGAUGUCAUAGAGAAUCACUCCAUGUGGAUUUGACUUCAUGUUCACUCUUUGCUGAAGCAUUGUAGAGGUUGCCAGGAUUGUGUGGUUGCUGGUGCAUGUGUGAGCAUGAGAGUUUUGGCUUUUCUAAAGUGUUGCGGAGCGCAGCAGGACGAGGAGAUUCCUGAGGAACUGUACGGGGAAGAGGGGGUGGAGAAAUGGGAAAGUCUUCAAGAAAGGAAAGAGAGACUGAAAAAUCUCACCUCACAAGACCUGAGAGAAGAAUUAGAAGCUUUGGGUGUGAAAGUAUGUGAAGACGGGGGAAGAAAGAAAUACAAGAGUGAGAAGAAAUUGAGGAGGGAAUAUAGAAAACUUCUGAUGAGAGAAAUGAGGACCAUUGAUUUGGAAAACUCUAAAAAGACCUUGGCUGUGAAGAAUAAAACAGAGAAGGAGGAGAAGGAGAGACAGGAGAAAAUGGAUGUGGUGGUGAAGGGUGGAGAAGAAGAAGAACUAUCUGAGCAGGAUGGAGGAAGUGAGGCGAGAGGAGAAAUGGAUGGGGAGAGAGAGGAACAGAUGGAUGUAAAUGAAAGGGAUGAUAAAGAAGAGGGGAAAGAGAAAAACAGUGAACUUGCAGAGGAGAGACGGGAGGAGGGGGAGAAUGAGAAGACAGGAAAAAAAACAAAGGAAGAGGAGGAAGUUGAAGGGAGUGUGAAAGAGGAGAAGGACAAGGAGAAGGCAAGGGGGACAAUAGGAGUGGAGGAUGGGGGUGAGAGAAAGGAUGAGAAGGUGGAGAAUGAGGAGGUGGAGAUGAGGAGAGAGGAAAAGGAAGAGAGAGAUGAGGAAAGGGGGGAGGAGGGCAUUGAUGAGAAGGUGAAAGACAACAUGGAGGUGAGGGUGGAGGAGAAAAAGGAGGAAAUGGAGGAGAUAAAGGAAGAGGAAGAGAUGGAGAACGAUGUCCUGAUGCAGAACAAAAAUGAGGAGCAGAAAGAUGAAAUGGAUGUGGAGGCAGAGGAGGAAAGAAUGCACCAGGUACAGAAGGACGUAAAUACUGAAGACAUAGAAAAGGAGGAGGCGCUGAUGGAGGAGGACAAGAAGGAUGAGAGAGUCAGAGAGGAUGAUAUGUCCGAGGAGGAAAGCAAGAAAGAAAAGGAAACAAGGAAGAAGAUGGUGGAGGAGAGAGAGAUGGAGGAAGAAAAGGAUGCAAUGGUCAUUCAAACUGAAGUGGACAAAGCCGAAGAAGAGGUGGUUGCCAGCAAAGAGAAGAUCACUGAAUUGACCCCAAAUAAAGUGGACAAAACAGAAGAAGAGGUGGAUACCAGUGAUGAAAAGACCAAUGGGAGAGAUGACACUCAAGAGGUCAAGAAAAAGAGGAAAACAAGGAGGGCCAAAAGAGCUGGCAAAGGAGGUAAAAAAUGUAAGCAAGGUGAGACGAGCGCUGAACCACUGCCUGAGAAAACUGAAGAGGAGCUGGGACAAAAUCAGCACAGGGAGAACAAAAAUCAGCAGGAGUUUGACAACCGGGACAGCGACGGAGAAAGACGUACACACAAACAGGAACAAGUCUACAAGUGUCCCAAGUGUGGGAGUGUCCAAGAAAGGUGCAAAACAUGCGAAGGAAUGAGGAGAGAGGAGAAGCAUGGAGCACCAGGACUGAUGUGUAAGAAGAACACAAGAGUCCAAGCAGGACAAAGGAGAGACUGGAAGAGGGGAAAUCAACAGGAGUUUGCCAACAGACACAGGGGCAGAGGAAGAUACACACACAGACAGGAGAGAGGAGUGGAGAGACGUGGAGAGAGAUACAAACCACAGAGAGAUAGACAGCCGAGAGAGGAGUGGGAGAGCGGCGUGCCGCCUCAGUGGUGGGAUGAGAAUGAAGGAUACAGGAUGUACGACAGGAGAGACACAGGAGUUAGGCACAGAAGCAGACGAACACAAGAACAUUACAGGCAAGAGAGAGGAGAGGAGAGGUGGGGAGAGAUGGUGGGACACGUGCAGAACACAUUAAGAGAAAGAGAGCGGAGAGUGGAGAUGGUGAGCGGGAGUGGAACUUAUCCAAGACGUUGGCAAAGGAGUCAAGUUCCGGCGCAACGUGACUGGAGAUGCACGACGGGUACAGACCACUGGAGAAACGGACAGGGGAGAAGGGGAGAGAGAGUUGGCGAGAUGCAGAGACCAGUGAGAGGAGGGCGAGAGGAUGAGGAAAGAAGACGUUUCUUUGAAGAGUGGCAGAGGAACGAGUGGGUCAGGGCUGGAGGAAGGAGAGUAAUGGGUUGGGGAGAGUACUACAGGACGGAUCAAUACUAUUACUAAUUACAAUACUAUUACUUCAUUGAAUGAAACAAACUAGUAAACACACACACACACACACUCACACACACUCACACUCACAUCCACAAACACACACAAUAGUGACACACACGCAUCAUAUUUAAAAUAUAAAACCAAUAAAGUUUGAAAAC